rnacentral:lncRNA from 1 species
CCAGUUGAAUUUUGAGGUCUUUGUUGGUAUGUGGCAAAAGAAUUUUUUUGUUGUACUCUCUUAUAAUAUGACUCAUCAAUGCAAAAUUGAGACGGGUCUACACUUCUGGGCAUAGGAGAUGAAGAAGAAGUGGAUUAAAAAUAGGAAUUUUGUGCAUGCAACAUACCUACAUCCACAUAACUAUGAAGGAGCAAAAAUCGAAAGCAAUAUCAAAACAAUGGAACAUAAAAUCAACAAAACAGGACAAAGUUUAACCUAAAAUCCUGGAAGAAGAUGAUGAAAAAGCAACGAAAAAAAAGAGAGCAAAAAAGCAAAGUGAAAGAGAAAAAAUAGAACAGCAAACAGGAGAAGAGAACAAUGGAAGUUCACCUAGAAGGAGAGAGAUUGCAGGGGAGGGAGAUAGAACUGUAGAUGCUUUGGCAUACGCAUAGUUUUGCUAGAGAAAAAAAAAUACACGUGUUAAGCAAAUAGGCACACAAAAGAUAAAGUAAUCAAUACCCAAUGAAA